GCGGUCGGGCCGGGCGCCGCCGGUUCCUUUCCCGCACGGGUGGUGGCGAAGGCGGGAGAUGCCUCGGCUUUGCCCCAAAACUCAGGGUGCAGUGUUGGGGACGGCACUUUACGAGCCGGAUUUUCAGGGGGGCUCGCAGUCCUGCGCGCAUCGGGAUUGCAAUGUUCGCAAACAUUGCUCGUCCUCAGCCUUACGUGUUAAACAUGUACAACGUGCACAGUACAGAGAAGAAGACAAAUCUAAUGAUGCAUAAGAGAAGACCUGGGAUUUCAGCAUGCACACUGAGCCAACAGGAAGAAGGCAGAAAAUGUAGCUUUGUUGCUGAGUAAAACACUGAGAGGGCAACAGCAGGACCUGAACAUACUUGCUUCUGGCUGGUGUUUGCUUUGAAGACAGAUGGCAGUAGGCCUUUUAUUCCCACCUUUAAAGUGAGUGUAGAUCUGCUACAGAAUGUUUCAAGAGUGUGCCAAAAAUGGUACCUGUAGCAGCUUGAGAGAAGCUUACUCUGUACUCUUGUAUAGCAGCUUUAUAGGGCUCUGGGAACUCCAAAACCUGCCUUUUUAUAGAGACCUGGUGACCCUCAGUCAAAUUUUGCAGGACUAGUAGCAAUGGCAAAUAAAUAUUGAUUAAAUUAAAAUAAUGUCUCUCUGCCUUUCCAAGGGUAAAACUACUACUGAAUUUCCUUUUUUCUUCCUGGCUGGCCAGCAUUUACAGCUAAUCUUAAGAAUAAUUUUGUCACUUCCUCUUAAGUCUAUGCGUCUAAACAGCAGGAACAUACAUACAGCUUAUUGUAUGCAGCAUGUUAUCUGCAAGCUUGAGUUUCACACACCUUUGUGUGCUUUCUUCAAUUAGGACAUUUAAUGUCUCUUUUGAAGACUUUGCACUUACAAGUCUUUUCAAAAUUCAGAAUACCCUGAAAGUAUUGUAGAUACUAGUGAUUAUCCCUUUUUUUGAUAAUGCACUGAUACACCUUGUUCAACCUGAUGCGAAUGAUUAGUAAGCCUUGUAUUAAAAGACUAACAACAGCAUUUGUUGCCUGAGUAUAUACUCUCUAACACAGAGUAGAUACACUUGUAGCAUUUUUAAUUCUGGGAGUACUUCUGGUUCGUGGCCAGCAUCAUGCUCAAAUGUGGUAACUGCUGAAAGAUGUCUAGGCUCAGCCAAAAGAAACUUUGCAGAGAAAGUGUAUCUGUUCACCAUGCAGCUGCAUGAACAUUGAUGCCAGCUCCAGAGAGAAGGUAUAUGGGUAGAAACUAGCAGUUGGAAAGUGGAAUAAUUUAUUUCAUCAGCAUAUGCCAAAAUAAACUGCUGAUGGGUCUGCUAACUAAGGGUUUCCAAUGUAACAAUGACAUGUAAGUAGAAACUCACUACUGAUAAAGUCUUUUGUUAGUCAUCCAUAAAUUUAAGAAUAGAAAACCCAGAUUUAAAAAGAACUCCAGAUGUCUGAUACCAGAAUGUAAUCAUUCCCUCAAAAUUAAAUUCAAGAAAGAAACCAGUCAGAAACUUGUGCAUGAAGAUAGGCAUGCUGUUGUCAAAGAAAUGAAGGUUUAAAUUAAUGAAGUUGAGUGCCUUUCAUUUUGCUGUCCAUGCACAUCAUCAGCUGCGCUAUGCAGCUGGAAUCAGGGUGUUGGUAGCUCCAAGACACAGGCCAUGGUUUUGUGCAGACCUAAGAGUGGUUCCUGAAAUGUAAAAUGGCCCUAUAUUUUGAGAAUAAAUCUAGACUCUGUGAUUGGUUUGUCAAAUUAAAUACUCACAAGUGGUUAGCUAAACUAAAAAAAAAGACAUUUGAAGUUUCAAUGAGAAAUUGCUAGAGUAUUAAGUAAGCUCUGAGCAUUACACCAGGGCCUAUGGAUUACUCAACUAAUCUGGAAUAAAGCUUUCUCUGUAAAAUUAAACUCUCCAAAGUAGAAAAUGAUAUGGAAUUUCCUUUGGGCUCAGUACUCAGACCUCAGACCUGGGAAAUAAAUGUGAUCUGUAACAAACAUAAUAGGAGCUCAAAUACUACACAGCCUCCUCCAGUGACCCCAAGGUAAUUAUUCUUUUCCUCAGUGCUUCUGUUGCUACAUCUUGAGAAUGCUUCUCAGGACUGAGGGAAAAAUGUCUCCUUUUAGACAACAUCUUCUAAGCUCCCAACUUAUUUGCACACAGCACUGGCAUUAGACCAACUUAAAACUGAUCAUGUGCAGUUGUAGCCUCUUUAUUACUAAGACUGAAUAAUGCACACAGUUAUCCACAAAUAAAAUGGUUAGUGGAAGCCUGUAUCUUACAAGCCUAUGUUUUUUACUGUAGACCUUUCUUUUGGAUUCAAAUAGAUAUAGAAUGGAGAUGGUUGGUUUUUCUUUUUCAAAAGUUGUUUAGUGAUGCUUUAUCUUUGCAGCAAGAUGAGCAGGAGUUGUUAGUUAAAAGACUUGAGUUUAUAAUCCAGCAUAUAUGUGACAAGUCAUAUAGUGUACAUGAGCAGCAGUGGUUUGUGAAUCACUUCUACUGUGUUGUCUGUUUUUCACUUUGUUGAUAUGUGACAAUCCUGGCCUGUAAACUCUCUGCCAUGUCAGAAACUGAGAAACUUAAAGUAACAGGGCAUUAAUUAAAUUCAAGUAAUUUAUGAUCAGUCUCAGUAUUACUUAUACCUUCUGUACCUGUUUCAGCCUGUCACAAUUCCCUUUAAAAGGAAUAACAGCACAGAUAAAGAAAAUGUAAUACUCUAUGCACAGCACAGCACAACUUCAGAUACACAUGAAAACUGAAAAAUUUUCACCUUGGUAUUUUAUUUGUAUGUUUCUGAUUGAGAUUUGUCUUCUGUCUCUUCCAACAAAGGAUCUAUUUUCUUUUUUUUCUUUUUUUCUUUUUCCCCCCUUUUUUACUUUUUUCUCUUUUUUACUUCUUUUUCUUUUCUUUCUUUUUUCUUUUUUUUAGGUGUUUGUUUUAUUUUGUUUUUUUUU